rnacentral:tRNA from 1 species
GCCCAAGUAGCUUAUAAGGUUAAAGCGCGUGUCUGAAAAACAUGAGAAUAGGGUUCAAUACCCGCUGGGCUACCA